UUUUUUAUCUCGUCUGCCCCGAAUCAUUCCCUGCCGCACCUCACCUGAUCAAAAACCCUUCUCCAUUGCCAAAACCCUCGCCGCCCCUCGUGAGCCCUCUCUUCCCUCUUUUUUGGCACAUGGUUUACCUUCGUCAGUGUCCUCCUCCUUCUCUUCUCAUCCACCGCCCUUGUUGUCGUCUCCUCUGUUCCCUAUCAGGACAUCCUCACCCUCUCCAAGCAAGAUAGAGUUGUCCCCAUCCGUAUCGACGAGGAGGUGAGAAUGCUCUGCCUGGAGUGGAGGGCCAAGCAUCUCCCCGUCGAAAACAACCAAUAUCUGGAUGAAUACUGACUCAAGGUCUUCAAGGAGAACCUCCGGAUCAUGGAAGAGCACAAUUCGAUGGCCGACCAUGGGGAGCACACCUACCGCCUCAGGAUGAACUGGUUCUCUGACGUCACCAACGGGGAGUACUUGCCAGGUUCCUCAAGGACUUUAGAUCCGCCUCUCAGAAGAUCAGCAAUCGGUACCGGCUGAGAGAAGGGGAUCUGCCUGAUUCCAUCGAUUGGAGGUAGAAGGUGCUGUCAUCACCAUAAAGGAUCAUCUCGACUGCGGCUACAGGUUGGAAGCUUGAUGAAGCUGUACAACUCUUCUAUAUCAGCAAUGAAAGUGGUAGGGUGGAGUCAUCUUUCUUAUCUUGACGGAUUAAUGGAAUUACUAGGUGGUCUUCCACUAAACCUAUGAAAAUUAGAGUGUGUUUUUGUUGAAUAUAGUUUGCGAUGACUUUUUCUUUUCUUUAAAAUUUUUGUUUCUUCAAUGAGGAAAAUAUUCUUAAUUGCCUUAACAUUUUCAUAAUUUAUGUACUUCUAUUAACUUAAUUUGCAUAAUUCUAUCUAUUGUUGUGUGAUAA